GUGCGCCGUCGCCGAAUCCUGAAAGUGCACCACCGCGAGCCACAACUCGAUACAGAUGCACCAAAGGAACCGGGGAACCAACCCUUGCCGGACAUCCAGGCGAGGAUGGGGUGAAUCGACAAGUCCCGUUCAUGGGCGGGCAGUUCGUAGGAGACCUUCCUGCUCCGAACCCGUCAGCUAACCCGGUAGGCGAGAAGGAAGGAAAG
rnacentral:sRNA from 2 species